GAUGAAGAACGUAGCGAAAUGCGAUAAGUAAUGUGAAUUGCAGAAUUCAGUGAAUCAUCGAAUCUUUGAACGCACAUUGCGCCCGCCAGUAUUCUGGCGGGCAUGCCUGUUCGAGCGUCAUUUCAACCCUCAGGCCCCCAGUGCCUGGCGUUGGGGAUCGGCGCGGCGCCCUCCGGGGCGCUGCCGGCCCCGAAAUUCAGUGGCGGUCUCGCUGUAGCCCUCCUCCGCGUAGUAGCACAACCUCGCGGCCUGGAGCUCGGCGGUGGCCAUGCCGUAAAACACCCCACUUCUGAAAGUUGACCUCGGAUCAGGUAGGAAUACCCGCUGAACUUAAGCAUAUCAAUAAGCGAGGA
rnacentral:misc_RNA from 1 species